CUCUUUCCUUGUUCACGUCAGACUUGGACAGAGAGAAAGGGAGCCUCGUUCAGCUCUUCCUCUCCACGUUUCCAUCAUGCAAAAGGGCAACUCCUCCAAGAACAUCUCCUCAGACCUUCAAAAGAGAGAACCCAUGCCAUAAAUCGUCACUCACCCUUCUCUCCUCACCUUUCCUCUCGUCCCUGGACACAUCAGUCUGUUUACGAGCCCAAAAACACCUAGUUAGAGACCUCCGAUCAAAAAACGUUCUUCACCAACUUUGUUCGUCUAUGUCUCCUCUAUUCAGCCUCAAAAUUUCAGCUCAUCGGAGUCGAUUUGAGUCCUGUACACCCCUCGAAGCGGAAGCUGUUCCGGAGCAAGCCUGUUCCGGAUUUCUGCUUGAAUUCCCUCUCUUGCUCUACCCGAAUCCCCAACACCUUGCUUGAGACUGAUACAAACAGUUGUCUCUGUUUCACUUUGCAUAUUCGAGAUUGAGCGGACUUCUUGGCCUGCGGCUGGACUCGAUCCAAUCAGCUUCCUCAGCUCUCUUUCCUGUUGAAAUCAUCAAGAGAAACUCACCUUUUUGAUUAGUCUUUGGCUUGAUAUCUUGGUAGGAUCUUGUGAAGUGGUGGUUGCUACAAGGUUGCAUUGAGGCCAAGUGCUGCAAGAGAAAGCUCGAGUUCCAGGAGAGGUCAGUUCCUCCUUGAGCCACCGGUGGUGGGCAGUGUGCACCAUGCCCUUGUUAUCUCCCCUUUGUCUCUAGCCUUGUGAUUAAUGAAUUCCGGAAAGUGAUUGGCUAGAUGGACGGUUGUGAUGAAAGUGUGAAAGAUGAUCAAUUGCCGUGGGAUUGUAGUUACGUGGUGACGAUCACGUGGAAGCGCAAACCGGUUUUAUCUACUUCUUUUAUUCAAAACGAUAACUCAUGUUUUUAAACUUAGAU